ACUUACGGCCAUACCAUCCUGAAUACGCCUGAUCUCGUCUGAUCUCGGAAGCUAAGCAGGGUCGGGCCUGGUUAGUACUUGGAUGGGAUACCCCCUGGGAAUGCCAGGUGCUGUAAGUG
ensembl:rRNA 5S_rRNA 5S ribosomal RNA